AAGAUGGCAUCAUGAGUUCACAUGUUCACAUGAUUAAAGGUAUUCCGGUAGACGAUGGGGAUGCGUUCCAUUAGAUAGUAGGCGGGGUAACGGCCCACCUAGUCUUCGAUGGAUAGGGGUUCUGAGAGGAAGGUCCCCCACAUUGGAACUGAGACACGGUUCAAACUCCUACGGGAGGCAGCAGUGAGGAAUAUUGGUCAAUGGGCGCAGGCCUGAACCAGCCAAGUAGCGUGAAGGAUGACUGCCCUAUGGGUUGUAAACUUCUUUUAUAAAGGAAUAAAGUCGGGUAUGUAUACCCGUUUGCAUGUACUUUAUGAAUAAGGAUCGGCUAACUCCGUGCCAGCAGCCCGCGGUAAUACGGAGGAUCCGAGCGUUAUCCGGAUUUAUUGGGUUUAAAGGGAGCGUAGAUGGAUGUUUAAGUCAGUUGUGAAAGUUUGCGGCUCAACCCGUAAAAUUGCAGUUGAUACUGGAUAUCUUGAGUGCAGUUGAGGCAGGCGGAA
rnacentral:rRNA from 1 species